rnacentral:rRNA from 1 species
UACGGGGGGAGCAAGCGUUGUUCGGAUUUAUUGGGCGUAAAGAGCGUGUAGGCGGCCAGAUAGGUCAGCUGUGAAAACUCGAGGCUCAACCUCGAGAUGUCGGCUGAAACCAUCUGGCUAGAGUCCGGAAGAGGAGAAUGGAAUUCCCGGUGUAGCGGUGAAAUGCGCAGAUAUCGGGAGGAACACCAGUAGCGAAGGCGGCUCGCUGGGCCGUUCCUGACGCUGAGACGCGAAAGCUAGGGGAGCGAACAGG